rnacentral:rRNA from 1 species
GAUGAACGCCGGCGGCGUGCCUAAUACAUGCAAGUCGAGCGAACGGACGAGAAGCUUGCUUCUCUGAUGUUAGCGGCGGACGGGUGAGUAACACGUGGAUAACCUACCUAUAAGACUGGGAUAACUUCGGGAAACCGGAGCUAAUACCGGAUGAUAUUUUGAACCGCAUGGUUCAAAAGUGAAAGACGGUCUCGCUGUCACUUAUAGAUGGAUCCGCGCUGCAUUAGCUAGUUGGUAAGGUAACGGCUUACCAAGGCAACGAUGCAUAGCCGACCUGAGAGGGUGAUAGGCCACACUGGAACUGAGACACGGUCCAGACUCCUACGGGAGGCAGCAGUAGGGAAUCUUCCGCAAUGGGCGAAAGCCUGACGGAGCAACGCCGCGUGAGUGAUGAAGGUCUUCGGAUCGUAAAACUCUGUUAUUAGGGAAGAACAUAUGUGUAAGUAACUGUGCACAUCUUGACGGUACCUAAUCAGAAAGCCACGGCUAACUACGUG